rnacentral:rRNA from 1 species
UACGGGGGGGGCAAGCGUUGUUCGGAAUUACUGGGCGUAAAGGGCGCGUAGGUGGCCUUCUUAGUCAGACGUGAAAUCCCUGGGCUUAACUCAGGAACUGCGUCUGAUACUGGAAGGCUCGAGUUCGGGAGAGGAAUGUGGAAUUCCAGGUGUAGCGGUGAAAUGCGUAGAUAUCUGGAGGAACACCGGUGGCGAAGGCGGCAUUCUGGACCGAAACUGACACUGAGGCGCGAAAGCCAGGGGAGCAAACGGG